AGCCCAGAGAAAAGGUCACAGCUUUAGAGAAAGAAAUGGGCUCCAUCUUCAUUCUGGGAACCCUGGGCUUGGGGACUAGGCUGCGGACGGGCUGGAGACAGGAUAGCAAGAGAGAAAGCGGGGCUCCGAAGGAACGCCUCUCUCGAUGCCUCGUGGCGUCCCCGCUCGGACGCAGGGCCAUGUGACCUUGCGUCCCCAGGGCCAGCUCCGAGAUCACGCGAUGUGAGGUGGGAGGCUGCGGGAAGGGAGCCGGCCUGCGUUUGCGGAGAGCCGAGAUGCACCCAGCGCUCACCUCCGCAGGCGGACGCAGGAGGAGGUGCGGCCCCGCGGAAAUCCUAAGGCACGCUGUCCCUUCGCGACUGCAGGCUCACCAGCAGAUUAACAGAAAUUUAUACACUUAGUUCCUUAUUAGUGGCACCUACGCUUCAACUAAAUAAGGCAGCCUUAGAAGGGAAAGAAGACCUUUGCCCCCGAAGCCCGCAACCCGCUCCCGUAAGCCUCUGGAGGAAGCACUGCCAUCUUCAACAGCUGACAAAUGGCAAAAGUGAGACCCUCCUCCAAAUGGUUCAAUGUCUCACCCAAGAUGAGUUAGCAAGAACACAGAUCUUUUUGUGUCUACACCAUCAAGUCACGGAGCUGAUGCAAACAGGACAGAUUUGUUUUGCUGCUCCCUGAGUUACAGAUAAGAAGAUUCUUCCAUGGCAGUAACAGCUGAAGGGGCUGUUGAGAUGUGGUGGCUAGAGCUCGUCCACUUCCGAUGACACUGAGGCGGCAGGAAUUAAAGCUCUCAAAUGAUUCAUCACUGUAGCUGUAGCUGGCAUACCAAAGGUACUCAAUAAUUGUUUGCUACAAUAGACAAGCAAACAAAUGGAAAUAGGAUGUUAAUUUGAAAUUUUCUACUGAGGCACCAAGAUGAAUCAGAAAGGAAAUCCAGCAGAAGGUGCUAACCAAGAUGUAAACGCUUAAAGAAAAUGUUAAGAACUGAUUUCUCAACUGUGGAUGUGUUCACCCAUAAUGCGGGCUUGAAAGGGCAGAGACAAAGUCUCCGUGAGGUUCUGAUUCACUGGGCUUUCGGAUCCAUCCCUUGAAAGUGCCUAAAGUGGGGCUCUGGAGAAGAGGAUUUCCUGCGGUCCACUUCUGACUGUGGCUCCCACUGCUCAGCCCUCCUGCCACUAGGGGGGAGAGAGAGAGAAGUACCUGCUCCUUAUCCCAGUUCUAGUGAGCGGGGCUCCAAAGGGAGCAUCUGGAGAGCCUGAUGGGUGGUUUUCCAAGUAGUAAUAACUGCAAGCCAGUGCCGUGAGAGCCCCCCAAAUGUGUGAAAUCUACAGAAGAAUGCUGUCCCAAUGUCCUUAAAAAUGGAGCCCUGCCAGAGAUCAGAUGAAAGUGGAAGAAUGCGGAAGCCGAGCCAUCGGUGAGGCUGCAGAGUGACCAGCCAAAGAAGGGACACUGCCCACUUCAAAGGAGUUGAACUUGAAGAGGCCCUGCAGGGGAGCCUCUGAGGAACCCACAGAAGAACUUAUAAGGUCCAGAGAUGGCAGAGUCAGCUUAUGACAGCAACGGUCAAGUGAGAACCUGUCAAGUCCCCCGUCUUCCCCGCCGCUGGGUCCCCUGCAUAGUCAGGGGGGAGAGGAGGAGAAAUGAGAGGCUGGUAAGAAAUGGACAGCAAUCCCUCUUCCACUCUGAAGGGCCAAGCAGAAGCACGACUCAGCCAGGGGAAGAAAGGUGAUUUAACCUGACACAAAUUCAGACUUUGAUUACUACAUAGGACUGGACAAUUAAUUACUCAAUUGAGGCCAUGAUUAUGACACAAGUGACUGCAGGAUAUUUUUCCCCCUCCGCCAGAGUGAUCGGUGAACCAGCACAGCCAAGAUUUUAAUCCAGAAUUUGAAAGUGGGGCUAGCUCUGCUAAAUAAAUGUUAACUCUCUGUGAGUCUAGCUUCAUCAGCAUGCUAUUUACAGAAUGAAAGAAUGACGAAUAUAUGAAUCAAUAAACCACGCCCCAACAAUUCCCAAAGCUAACCUGUCCACAAUGGGGAGACCAUUCCGAAUGCUGCAUCCUUUCAGAUCCCACUUGUCUGUAGCAUCUGCUAAUGGAGCUCUGAGAUAAAUCCAGGAAAACAUCCUAGAGAAACAAGGAGGGCAGCACUCCAUGCCUUUUCCAACCCUUGUGGUGAGACAGACACUUCACUGCUCUUGAACUUCCAUCAACUCAGUUCCAAUGACAUGCUCUAUCUACUGGGCUAUCUCAGAGUCUAAUUUUCAAAUUCCCCGAGAGAAUCCAACUGGCCCAGCUUGGCUCAGGUGUCCAUUCAACCUUGGCCAGAGAAGGUGGGUUUGUGUAACAACAGAAUAGCAGCUGAAGUUUAUUGGGUGCUAACUACACUUUAUAAGCUUUACCUUUAUAUAGCCUUCAGAGCCCUCCUUUAUCAGGACCUUGGAACAGUUUUCAGAAAAAGAGGAUAAUUGUGAGUUGUGUGGAUGUCCUAAAAGAUGUCUGUGACUCAAAUCUUUCCCUCAGAGCCUGCGAAAAUUCUGUGCAGAGAGAAAAACAUGCACAUGAAAAUCUAACUUGAGCCUUAAAACUCAGUCCAGUAAUGCUGCAACGGGCCUAAGUGCAGGACUUCAAGGGUCUAAAAUAACUGAGUUCCAAUUCUAACUCCAAGUUUACUAGCUGUGUAGCUUGGACGAGUCCCUCUACCUCUCUGCUCAAUUCCCUUUUCUUUCUGUGAAAUUGUGAAAAUAACACAUACUGCAUGACACAGCGUGCACGAAGUGACUUGAGUACUGUUACCCAUGAAGCACUUAAAACAGUAACAAGUAUUUAUGCAUGCUUCCUCUGUGACAAGGUAAUGUCCAAAAGAGACGCACACCAACAGGAAGGGAAAGAUGGAGAAGCAAAACGUCUGCUUGCCCUAAUGAGCAUUAUCAUUAUAUAUAAUAUCAUUAUGUAGUAACGAGAGAUAAUAGUUAUCAAUUAUUGUGUAUACUGUGAUGGGAAAUUUUCUCAGUGCUUUACAUAUAUUUAUGUAUAUUAGCUGAGUUACUAUUAUUGCCUCAUUUGGAGGCACAGAGAAUUUAAGUAACUUGUCCUAGGUUACACAGCUAGUAAGCUGUAGAAGGAGGACUUGGGACUAGAAGGUCUGGCUCCAGAGCUCACAUCUUAAACACUACUCUGUACGGCCUUCAGCCCAACUGUAUCAUAGGCUAUCCUGCCACAUGUGUUCCUGAACCAGAGAGGUGUCUGUGGAUAUACCAGCACAGAGAGAAGACAGUUUACCUUCAAGUUUUCAAACUUGCUAGAAUCCCCUCUUGUUUAUUCCACAUGCCCUCUUUAAUGAGGUUACCUCAUCAGAAUUAAUGGAUUGUUACUCUUCUUGAUCGGUGGUGUAAACUGUAAACUCUGAGAUAGUCUGCCUACCACACUUAGUUUUAGCUUUGGAAGGUUUACUUGCAAAAGCUCUUAGAAGCACCCAUGAAUAAACAAGAGCGAAAAGUUAUACUAAGGAUAGACAUUUUUGUUUGCACUUUUUUCCAAAUCUAUCCAAACAACUGGAUUCAAAAGCUUUCUCUGACACCAUAGGCAAAUGCUUCUUCCCCAGGCACAGACAGCCUGUCAGAGACAACACAGACCCACUGCUGUGGUUAUUGCCGAAAUUUAUAAGUGAUGCAAGGUUUUAUUUUUGCCAGGUUCUACCUUAAAAGAGUCCCAGAGAGCAAGACACUGGUAAGUGGUAGUGAAGGCUGAUGACUUCUAAAAGAAUUAGAGGACAUACAUGUAGCAGAUGCCAUUGGUCAGGUGGCCCAACUCCCACUCUCAAACCCACCUCUUUGGUAGAGGCUAGAAAAGCCAAAUAUUUGCUUUCCUGCUCUUCAGCUAGGGUUGGCUAUGUGAAACAGUUUUAGCUCCAAUGAGGUAUAAGUGGAAUUCUUCAGGGGCUUCUGGCAAAUCUUUGCUUUCUUGAUACAAAGGAUAGAUGUCACUAGCACCACCCUUCUGCCACUGCCUUCUUCUGGCCUUUGCUACAGACUAGCACCUAGAGCUACGGCAGCCAUCUUGCAAUCACAAGAGAUGGGCCCACAGAAUUGAAGAAAUACUAGCUCUGGUGUUUUUUUGUUCUGUUUUGUUUUUGAGCUAUUAGCAACCACCAACAGCAACCUCCAGGAUGCCGGUUAUAUUAGUAAAAUAGUUUGAGUCACUCUUAGUAAGGGUUUCUAUGGAUGCCAAAAGCAUUCUCAUUGAUACACUAUGACAAUAAGAUAUUUUAGCCCAUUUAUUGCCUUUUAAUUUACACCUAUCCAUCUAUUCCUCAGAAAUCCCCCAGAAGUUGGGUUAAAGAGCAUUACUUAAUCAAAUCACUGAAAUGAUUCAUGGGGCACAGAUAAUCAAAAUGAUUUCUCUUUAUAGUUUAUCCCCUAAUCAUAAUAACUACUUUAAGACCAGUAUCAUAUUGUUAAUAGUAUGGUGGUAUAGUGUGUUAUUAACCAAACUUAUUGUUAAUCAGUCUAAUACACACAUGGAGUCCAAAAAAAUGUAUAAAACCAUUUUUUACUCUUGGCUUCAGUUACAUAUUUCAACUUUAUAGAGUUCACCGUCAAGAGAAAUGGCUGUAGUCAUUUGUUCUACCUCACCCUUCUUCAGCUCUCAAAUAGAGCCUCCCAAAUGUGCCCUAAAGAUCACCCAUGUGGCCACCCCCUCAUAGGCACUAGGAAAUCAAGCUUCUCCUUCUUGGACACUCUUCUCUCCUCCCCCACACCUAGAGAUGGGCAUAGGGAUGCAUGGGAGCAGAAUGAGCCCCAUUAACUAAUACCACUGAGUACAUAACAGGCACUCAAAUGCUUACUAAAUGAAUAAAUUAAAAAGGAGUAUCCACCUUAAGUAGGUGUUUCCAGAGAGGCCUUUUAGAAGGUGUGGUCUGCCUUAGUCAGUUUGGGUGACUACAACAAAAUACCAUAAACGAGAGGCUUAUAAAGAACAGAAAUUGUUUUUCCCAGUCUGGAGACUGGGAAGUCCAAGAUCAUGGCACUGGCAGAUCCAGUGUCUGGAUCUCAUGGACCAUUGCCUUCUCACUGUACAAAAGGGACAAGGGAGCUCUCUGGGGCCUCUUUUAUAAGGGCACGAAUCCCAUUCAUGAAGGCUCUAUUUUCAUGACCUAAUCACCUCCCAAAGGGGAUCCCUCCCAAAGGUUCACCUUGGGGAUUUGGAUUUUAACAUAUGGAUUUCGAGAGGACACAAACAUUCAGUCCAAGCAUGGUCUAAGCAGACUUAAGCAUCAUUUGUGACUCGGCCAAGUGGAGAAGUGAUAGGGAGAGCAAGCCAGAAAGAACCCACAGCAUGAAAUGAGGUGCUUUACAAGAAUACAAGAGUGGUGCCCUGGGAGAAGUAGAAAUAAUUUCAUGCUGCAGAAGUGUGGAGUGUGAAGCAGAGAAGUUGGCAGGGAUUGAAUCAGCAUGGCUCUUGGCGAUGGAGAAAUGUUUGAAGGGUUUUUAAGAAGGAAAUAAGCAUUGCUUUGGAUUUCAGAAAAAUCACUUUGGGGACAGUUAGGGGGUGAAUUCAAAACAAGAGACUAGAUUCAAGGAAGAGAGGCUUAUUACGAGUUCCUGGAGAAAUAAGAGGCCAUGAGGUUCAAACGAGUUAAUCCAUUUGCAAAUAUACUAAGCACAAAUUUCAACAUUUCAAAGUACUCCACUGUGUUGAAUUCAAGUCAACCACGUGCUGAGUUGUGUACCAGCCAGACAGUGUAAAGAAAGGCUAACCCUAAGACCCUCAUACUCUCACUGAAAUGGAGGUGGCAACAAAGAUUAGGCUACCUGCCUGGUGUUGAGGGGAGGGCACUUGGCACUUGCCCAACUGUUCAUCCCUUACAGUUCUGACAAUCACUGUGUAGCCCCAAAGGUGAGAGCCAUAAUCAAGGUCAUACGGUGACCAGCUUAAAAUAGUCUCUGGCUCCUCCUGGACCCAAUUUCAUGCCCUAAAUUCCAGAUGACAAAACCUGCUGCAUAAAAAUAGUUCAAUUAAAAUCUAAAAUAAAACGGUCACUUGUUCUUAAAAACAAAGCAAGCACAGUUUUUCAGCAAAAUGUCAUGAACCUGGAUAAAACUGUAAUUUGGGAAGUUGUAAAAAUAUGGCUACAGCAUCCCGCUGGCCAACGCCUGUCACAUGACCAUGAAUGUCGGGCACCGCCCUGGGGCUCCACCUUGCCUGGUUCGUGCGAGGCUAUGUGAGGGUGAAGCUGGAGUGGGAGGUCAGCUACACAAGAUGGUCCAUUUAACAGCUGAUCUGCUGGGACUGGUGCCUAAGAAGCUAAUUUCUAGCUUUGAGAUGGUUUCUGGUAAUUGUAGGUAAUUUAAAAUAUAAUUUCAAUUUAGUUGGAAAAAAAACUCUGUUUGCAGUGUUUAUGCUCAUCACUCUAAUUUAAGGUCUAGAAUGUGGGAUGGACUGCGUUUCAAUACACGCCCAUUUUGCAUCUUCCUGAUUUUACCACCAGUGAUUAUAAAAACAGCCUCAGCAAACCUCAGUCUGCAUUGCAAGACAGAUGCUGCAAAGCUCAGAUAUAAAGUUUCACAUUACUGGAAGGUUAACUGUUGUGCAUGUAAAUGAUUAUCAGAUAGAUGAAGAAAACCACAAGGCUCCAAAAUGCAAAAGCCCUCAAAAAAAUCCAGCUUGCCCAUGUUUAUAAUAAGGCCACUUUAUUAUUUUUUUUUCAAAGAAGGAUGACUAUGGCUGAGCUCAGUGUGGUCUGCAUGCAAGCUUAAUGGAGGAAUAAUUACACAAGGCUGCUUGUGAGUGGGCCAAGAGAGCUUCCCUCUGGGUUGUGUGUUACAAACUGCUCCACACUGAGCCCCGACCAUCUACAACUUUGCAAGGUUCAGAGAUUUCUUACCACAGCAAGAUCGAGUGCUUUAAAUGUACGGGUUUGGGGUGCCUGGGUGGCUUAGUCUGUUAAGCGUCUGCCUUCGGCUCAGGUCAUGAUCCCAGGAUCCUGGGAUCUAGUUCCACACUGGGCUCCUCGCUCAGCGGGGAGCCUGCUUCUCCCUCUGCCACUCCCCCUGCUUGUGAUCUCUCUCUCUCUGUGUCAAAUAAAUGAAUAAAAGUCUAAAAUAAAUAAAUGUACAGGUUUAUUUUAAGUGAAGAAGAAAUUUAAGGAUAUAUUGUAUGUGGUUUUAUAGAGAUUUUUAAAAAAUUGUCUAAAAUGUGAAUAGGAGAGCUACUCAAUGCCAGGCACUGUGGCAAUUAUUUAUUUAUUUAUUUAUUUAUUUAUUUAUUUAUUUAUUUAUUUAAGAUUUUAUUUAUUUAUUUAGAAAGAGACAGAGCAAGAGAGGGAACACAAGCAGGGGGAGUGGGAGAGGGAGAAGUAGGCUUCUCCCAUAGCAGGGAACCUGAUGCGGGGCUCGAUCCCAGGACCCCGGGAUCAUGACCUGAGCCGAAGGCAGACGUGUAAGGACUGAGUGUGGCAAUUAUUUAGAAUCCAAAGAACUAUCAUGAGCCAAAUGUGCCAGUGUUGCUCACCUAGGGCACAUGCAGCCAAAUAACUAAGAAAAUAGCUGAAAUGAGCACUUGAUCUAAUAACUUUACACACAGUCUCCCAUCUACCAGCUUGCCAAACUCUCUAGAAUAAAGCUCAGGGCAGAUGACAAUGACACUGUGUUAACACUGGCUUUGGAAAUCACACUCUGAGUCUGAAAACUGAGGGUCAGGGGUCAGAAUUUGCUUGUUGCUAGUAUCCAAAACCUGCCUUCAAAAACAGACCCAAACUAAUGUCACCAAGCAAUCACCAAGCAAUACCAUUUAGAUCAUGAAGAUUGCCAAGAAAGCUUUCAAAUGGAGCUUAAAAGUUUAACGACUGGGAAAACAAAAUGUGUUCUAUGGUAGCAGACCCAAAUUAAUCUGGCUUUGCCAAUAAUGACUCAGCAAACAAACAAACAAGCUUUUUUUUUUAAA